rnacentral:rRNA from 1 species
UGCGGCGGAUUAGCUAGUUGGUGGGGUAACGGCCUACCAAGGCGAUGAUCCGUAGGGGGCGUGAGAGCGUGGCCCCCCACACUGGCACUGAGACACGGGCCAGACUCCUACGGGAGGCAGCAGUGAGGAAUAUUGCACAAUGGGCGCAAGCCUGAUGCAGCAACGCCGCGUGAGGGACGAAGGCCUUCGGGUCGUAAACCUCUUUUCUGGGGGACGAGUAAGGACGGUACCCCAGGAAUAAGUCUCGGCUAACUACGUGCCAGCAGCCGCGGUAAAACGUAGGAGGCGAGCGUUAUCCGGAUUUACUGGGCGUAAAGCGUACGCAGGUGGCUUCGUUAGUCGGACAUGAAAGCUCCUGGCUUAACUGGGAGAGGUUGUUCGAUACUGCGGGGCUUGAGGUUGGGAGAGGGACGUGGAAUUCCCGGUGUAGUGGUGGAAUGCGUAGAUAUCGGGAGGAACACCAGUGGCGCAAGCGGCGUCCUGGCCCACACCUGACGCUGAGGUACGAAAGCGUGGGUAGCAAACAGGAUUAGAUACCCUGGUAGUCCACGCUGUAAACGAUGUCAACUGGGUGUCGGUAGUUUUACACUAUCGGUGCCGAAGCUAACGCG